UACUCUGGAUGACAAGCUUCACGAGGAAGGAGGAGCUGGGUAUGUAUUGUACUCUGUUGGAGAGAAGGUGGUUUGGCCCAAAGUGCACAACAAAAAUGUGCAGAACAUCUGAAUGAAUAAAUGACUCUAAGCUCCUCUUUCUUUCUGCAGCCUUCCUGGAAGGCCAGCGAAAGCCAAAAUUGGAGCUGGGAGCUAACAAGCUGGGGGAGGCAGUCAGGCUAUGGAAUGAGGCACGGGGCUGGCAGAGCUGGUGACAGAAGCCUCAGAAGUUCCAGGGAAAGAGACACUAGAGAAGCCACCACGUAGCUCACCUGCUCCCUCAGCCCUGAAUCAGGACCAAGAAAACUGACCCUGACCAAACAGGCUCUGCGAUAAGGCCCCAGUCACGGACAUUUGUAUCAAUGCUGCUCUUCUCCUAGGAGAAACCCGACAUCCUCAGCAAAGAGUAAUUAAUUUGUCACCAUGGCACCCAGAAAAAAAAAAAAAGCAAAAA